rnacentral:rRNA from 1 species
UGGGGAAUAUUGGACAAUGGGGGCAACCCUGAUCCAGCAAUGCCGCGUGUGUGAAGAAGGUCUUCGGAUUGUAAAGCACUUUCGACGGGGACGAUGAUGACGGUACCCGUAGAAGAAGCCCCGGCUAACUUCGUGCCAGCAGCCGCGGUAAUACGAAGGGGGCUAGCGUUGCUCGGAAUGACUGGGCGUAAAGGGCGUGUAGGCGGUUUACACAGUCAGAUGUGAAAUCCCCGGGCUUAACCUGGGAGCUGCAUUUGAUACGUGUAGACUAGAGUGUGAGAGAGGGUUGUGGAAUUCCCAGUGUAGAGGUGAAAUUCGUAGAUAUUGGGAAGAACACCGGUGGCGAAGGCGGCAACCUGGCUCAUGACUGACGCUGAGGCGCGAAAGCGUGGGGAGCAAACAGGAUUAGAUACCCUGGUAGUCCACGCUGUAAAACGAUGUGUGCUAGAUGUUGGGUAACUUUGUUAUUCAGUGUCGCAGUUAACGCGUUAAAGCAC